CUCAGAGUCCAUGACAGGUCUGUCCUCUUCAAUAAUGGUGCAUGGUGACCCUCAAUAUGAGAUACAAGGGAAGAAAGCCUGACAGCUGGAAUUUGAGAUAAGUGGCACGUGGCAGAAUUUCUACUUUGUAACUUUUGUACCUAUCUGUUAUCUGGAGACUGGCUGCUCUCAGUGAAAAAAGAAGGAGUACUGCUAAUAGGCUUUCACCUCACAGCCUGAAUGCCAGGCCACCACACAAGAACUGAAGAGGCCAGGCUCCUCCCCAUUCUCCCAGUGUGCAGGUGGGCCCCUCAUCCAUUGCAGGCAUGUGCAGAAAAGACCCUGGGCAGGUUCCCUCAUCUGCACAAAAGCAUCUGAUGUAAACACUUGUGGGGUGAGUCGGAGAUUCUCUGGGGACCCUCCCUCAUCUGACUCCUGCAUCUAUCACUACCAUUACCUCAAAAACAAUAAAAAAGUUAAAUUGGCAUUUUUUUUUAACCUAAAGGCUAGUGUAUCUGGCAACAUACAAGAUACAUACCUCUCAUAGAAGAUUAAAAGCUUUUUCGUACCAGGG
rnacentral:lncRNA from 1 species